rnacentral:lncRNA from 1 species
AUUGGAGGUAGAGGCUACCAAUUCAUAUAAAAUAGUGAGAGAAUCUUUAAACUAAAGUCCAAGUCUUUAGACUUAAAUAGUUCAUAUAUUAAUAGGUCAAUUAUUCUCUUUUCAAAAUAACUAGAAUAUUAUUGUUCUGUUCAUUGUUAGACAGUGAUAAUGUUAUCGGAUCUAACUUUGAUAGCCAGUAUCAGAAGUUGAAUAUAGUUUUUGAGCGAAUUGAUCAAGAAGUCUCAGGCUAACCAAAUAGGUUUAAAAGAGAAAUUAGCAAAUAGUUGCUGGUCA